GGGCCCCUAGCUCAGCUUGGUAGAGCUUGUGGCGCUGAGAGCACCCGGUUUGCACCCGGGAGGCCGCGGGUUCAAGUCCCGCGGGGUCCACCA
rnacentral:tRNA from 1 species